UCGCUAUAGGUGUUCUUGAGCCUACCCAGAUCUUCAUAAGGCAGAACCGAGUGGCCUACUUUGACCGUGAAUAACUCUCUCAUCUUAACGAAUUUGGACAAUCUAUAAAUUGGGUCUUGUAGAGGAAAUACAAGACUACAAGAUCCAACAAUCAUAACCUCUAAACAAACAUCAGAUCUGGGAUAAAUCAGCCAUCAAAGUAGCUACCAAAGCUGUUCUUCACGAAGAACAGUUCGAGGUGCCUACUUUGGACCUCUAUAACUUGAUGAUCGUGUAACGUUUAUGUGAUCUAUCAAUUCCAGUGUGUAGACAACAUGUAGGACUACAACUCUAACACUUAACAUCAUCAUAAAAACAAUAAAUCAAGCAUCUAAAGUAUGGUCAAACCUUGUCAGAAAAAUUAACACUUAGAAAAUUCUGGGCUGCCCAGAAUUUUCUGGUCAAUGCCGGUCAACCCACUUUGACCUUAAAUAACUCUUAAUCCGUAAUAUAUAUGGACCUUAUUAUUUUUGGAGGUUAAAUACCACAUAACAAGCUACACAUAUCAACCUUUAGAACACAAAACACAUUACAUAUGACCGAGAUAUAAGGCCUGACAUUUGCCAAAAAAAUAUUUCUGGACACUUAGAAUAUUUUCUGGGUUUGAAAAACAGCCGGUCAAUGCCGGUCAACCCACUUUGACCGCUUAUAAAUCCCGAUCUACAAUAGAUAUAGACCUGAUUCCUUUUGGAGUUUAAAGACCACAUAUCAGGCUACCUAUAACAACUUUUAAACAACAAAACUCGUGAUCGACCAAAGAGUUAUAGCCUCUGACAUUUGGUGAAAAAUAACAGAAUUCGGUUUUUCCAACUUGUUUAAAUCUUCAAAUUCGUGCACUUUGAUGUUAU
rnacentral:lncRNA from 1 species